rnacentral:rRNA from 1 species
UACGAAGGGGGCUAGCGUUGCUCGGAAUUACUGGGCGUAAAGGGCGCGUAGGCGGCUAUUUAAGUCGGGGGUGAAAGCCCGGGGCUCAACCUCGGAAUUGCCUUCGAUACUGGAUAUCUUGAGUUCGGGAGAGGUGAGUGGAAUGCCGAGUGUAGAGGUGAAAUUCGUAGAUAUUCGGCGGAACACCAGUGGCGAAGGCGACUCACUGGCCCGAUACUGACGCUGAGGCGCGAAAGCGUGGGGAGCAAACGGG